UACGACCAAAUCACGUUGCAACACCUGUUCCCGUACCAUUAAUCAAGUUAAGCAUCUUCAAGCCUGAUCAGUACCUUGAUGAGUGGCCGCUUGGGAAUACUAGUUGUUGUAAG